GACGAACGCUGGCGGCGUGCUUAACACAUGCAAGUCGAACGGUAAGGCCCUUCGGGGUACACGAGUGGCGAACGGGUGAGUAACACGUGGGUGAUCUGCCCUGCACUUCGGGAUAAGCCUGGGAAACUGGGUCUAAUACCUGAUAGGACUCCGGACUGCAUGGUCUGGGGUGGAAAGCUUUUGCGGUGUGGGAUGGGCACGCGGCCUAGCAGCUUGUUGGUGGGGUGAUGGCCUACCAAGGCGACGACGGGUAGCCGGCCUGAGAGGGUGACCGGCCAAACUGGGACUGAGAUACGGCCCAGACUCCUACGGGAGGCAGCAGUGGGGAAUAUUGCACAAUGGGCGCAAGCCUGAUGCAGCGACGCCGCGUGAGGGAUGACGGCCUUCGGGUUGUAAACCUCUUUCAGCAUCGACGAAGCGAAAGUGACGGUAGGUGCAGAAGAAGGACCGGCCAACUACGUGCCAGCCGCCGCCGUAA
rnacentral:rRNA from 1 species